GCCUGGAUAGCUCAGUUAGUUAGAGCACGGUGCUGAUAACACCAAGGUUGUGAGUUCGGUCCCCAUAUGGGACA